CACGGGCACGGCCGCCCGCAGCAAACCGGUUCUGGGCACUUGGGCCGGCACGGUUCGGGGGCAGGCGGUGGCGGAGGAGCCGGUUUCGGCGGAGGCGGUGGCGGCGGAGCAGGUUUGGGUGGAGGCGGUGGGGGCGGAGCGGGUUUGGGCGGAGGUGGUGGGGGUGGAGCCGGUUCGGGCUUCGGCGGUGGGGGCGGAGCCGGUUUGGGCGGAGGUGGUGGCGGUGGAGCCGGUUCGGGCUUCGGCGGUGGUGGAGGAGGGGGCUUGUCUUCCUUGAUUUUGAUGUCUUUUAUCACCUUGCAAGCCUUGCACCAGAGCUUCUUGGAGAGGUAGUGAGGGUCGAAGGGGCCGGAGAUGGU
rnacentral:lncRNA from 1 species